rnacentral:lncRNA from 1 species
UGGGAUCACAUCUUGCCGCUGGAGCAGGAGCGGAGGGGAAAAAGGGGCCUUCCCGUUUCUCCUUGCUCAAAUAUGAGUCUCCUUGCUAUGUCACUUCCUGCCUGGAUCAGCACUUCUCUACUACAUUUCCCAGAAUCCUCUUUGCAUCCUAGUUCCGUCUAACUUGCUGUCUCGUUGGCCAAACAGUAUUUUAUUUAACAAUCAAUCAGAUAAACAUACACAGAAGUACUUCCCCCAUCACCAGACAGUUUGGCCCCCUCAGGUCUCCCAGCUGAGAACAUGACAUCUACCUCUGUGAGAAGGCUAUGAGCCCCGUGAGCAAGUCUUUAUUCACACAGGGCCAGGUAUGGUGCCUGGACCGUGUAUUUGUUCAAAACACAUUGGACAACAAUCUUGGGGACAUAUUUUGUAAGCAUAUCUUGGGGUCUCCUCUUGGGGAUGUCUGUUAACCUCCCCAAGGACUAGCCCAGGGAGCCUACAUGAGACACAUGUGGACAGCAUUCCACACUGACGCCUGAGCAGGCUUUGCCCAGGAUGCUGGCCCUUAAAGUAACCCUGUAGGAGGACAGGGUGGUCACAGCAGGAAGUCUUCCUGGCAGAAGCACCCAUUACCACAUGUUCCUUGCUCUCUGGAAACCUCUAGAAAAGCAUUCCAUGAUUAUAAUCUGUGUCAUUGUAACCUGGGAAGAGAAAGAGCCUUACAAAUGCUGGAGACAACCUGGAGACAGAGACAGCCUCACAGGUGGAGGACCUGUUGGGGGAAAGUCAGCCUGGAACUCGGGACUCUUCAGAAACAGAAGCUGAGCUGGAGGUCAAGGGUCAUGGGAAAGAAGGACAACAUAUAGGAUUCUUAGAGGGUCAUGGGAAGGGAGUCCAGCUGGACUGAGCAGAGGGAGAUGAGACACUGCCUGGCCAAGCCCUAGCUGUUUCCUGUGGAGCUCCAGAACAGUCCAUGCUGGUCUCAGCGCCCACUUUGGACGGAGGAAGCCUGGUCUUCAUCUCCGGCCUCACUCAGAGAUGGCCACACGUGACGCUCCAUGAGCUUUACUCAUGGCAGGUAGAUGUCUUCGUUGGGAAAGAACCAUCAGGUGGACGCCUCAUGCUUCCCACUCCUGGCAGCUGGGGAGGAAGGGGCAUCCAUCAGACCUGCCUGCGUCUGCUACUGCAGCCGAGAGAAGCUGAGACCUAAGAAGAGCAACAGUGAGGAUACAGU